UGAGAAACAUGACUUUCGGCGGGGGAUAGCCGGCCCAACGGCCGGGUAAUACCGCGUACGACCUUUUGGGGACAUCUCCGAUUGGUGAAAGCAGCAAUGCACCGAAAGAGUGCCUCGCGGCCUAUCAGCUAGUUGGUGAGGUAACGCUCACCAAGGCGACGAUGCGUAGCCGACCUGAGAGGGUNAUCGGCCACAUUGGAACUGAGACACGGUCCAGACCUCCGUACGGGGAGG
rnacentral:rRNA from 1 species